rnacentral:miRNA from 1 species
UAUUCUCAGAGUCAAAAAUAGU